UACGUAGGGUGCAGGCGUUAAUCGGAAUUCCUGGGCGUAAAGCGUGCGCAGGCGGUUUCUUAAGUCAGAUGUGAAAGCCCCGGGCUUAACCUGGGAACUGCGUUUGAAACUGGGAGACUAGAGUGUGGCAGAGGGGGGUGGAAUUCCACGUGUAGCGGUGAAAUGCGCAGAUAUCAGGAGGAACACCGGUGGCGAAGGCGGCUUCCUGGACCGAUCACUGACGCUGAGGCGCGAAAGCUAGGGGAGCAAACGGG
rnacentral:rRNA from 1 species